rnacentral:rRNA from 1 species
UACGUAGGGUGCAAGCGUUAAUCGGAAUUACUGGGCGUAAAGCGUGCGCAGGCGGUGAUGUAAGACAGGUGUGAAAUCCCCGGGCUCAACCUGGGAACUGCAUUUGUGACUGUAGAGCUGGAGUACGGCAGAGGGGGGAUGGAAUUCCGCGUGUAGCAGUGAAAUGCGUAGAUAUGCGGAGGAACACCGAUGGCGAAGGCAAUCCCCUGGGCCUGUACUGACGCUCAUGCACGAAAGCGUGGGGAGCAAACAGG